ensembl:lncRNA
AUGCUCCAGCAGGUGUUUGAACGCGGGAACCUAUCAGACCGCUCCGUUAGCGACCAGGAGGUACUCACCUGGCUUCAGAGCAGGCUCCGCCCACUGCUGAUCAACCUGUCCCCGCUCCACGUCGCCCCCCUCUUCAGUGUGGUCGCACAGAGGAACUGCAACAUUGGACAGCAGCUGGUGGAGGUGCUGAACGCCACCCUCCCUACACUUCAGGACAACACACAGAGAAACAUCUACGAUCAAAUCACCCUCUCCCUCCAAGGCUCUUCCCCACUCCGUUGCUAUGGCACAAACUACAACCACAGUUUCUAUGGUUACCUGGAGAGUUCCUUCCUGGGUUUCGGCUUCCCCAACCUGACCACCUUCCUCUCCCUCAUACCCCAUAGCCAGAUGGAACAGCUGGUGAACUCUCUGCCUGUCUCUGACCUGGGUCGUUUCCUGCGCCGCCCCAACGUUGUCGACGACGACACAAAACUCUGCCAGCUCUACAGCAACUACGCCAAGACCCCACUGUUCCUGGGGACUGUACGUACACACACGCACACACACGCACGCACACACGCACGCACACUCUCACACACACUCUCACUCACUCACUCACUCACUCACACACACACACACACACACACACACACACACACACACACACACACACACACACACACACACACAAUUGCUGUGUUACCCGUGUGAAACUGCCACCCAUUCACCAGAAAGAACACAUCCCAGUUUCCUCUAAACCGCAUUCAUAUCUAAGCCACUGGCCUGUCUUCCCCCCCCCCCCCCAGGAGAGUAUCCCUGAGUCAGUGAGGCGUCCCACACUGCCGUGUGUCUGGCCCCAGGCUCUCAGCAGCAGUCAGAGGUCAGAGGUCAACGCCUGGUUUGACAUGAGGCUGAAGAACUACCUGCCCUUCCUCACCAGGAGCCUGGUGACCUCCGCCGCUGUCCAGACCGCCCCUUGUCUGGCCUUCCAGAAACUGUAAGGGAUUUUUCCCCCAAAAAAAUAUAUUUACUACGUAUCUGUUUUCUGAUUUUAUUGAAAGGGGUAGACAGAAAACAGCUGAACGUCAGACAGAAGACUGGUGGGACCGGAAUUACAAUCCCGUGCAGGCAGGGAUUUGCAGAUGUGCAGAGGGCCGCGGCUUUCACCUGUUAGGACUUUUUACUGAGACUUGUUACCACGGGAACAACCCCUUACAAGGGCUUAGUAUGAUGUGCAGAGGGCCGCGGCUUUCACCUGUUAUGACUUUGUACUGAGACUUGUUACCACGGGAACAACCCCUUAGUGUUGGUGGAACUCUUGUAGAAGAGUUUCACAUUCUGUCUUUUUAUACCGUCUGGUCUCAAUGUUCGAUAUUGUGUUUUGACUUGAUCUGUUGUAAUGAAUGUGAUGUUGUUGUUUUUGUUGUGUUUUUUUUUAGCGUCUCAAUUCUGGGGAGUUAUAACUACAGCGCUGCCGACUUUGUGGAGAGAGAUGUGUACAGGGAGACCAUCAGGACGUAUCUCACCUCAGGUCAGCCAUUUUGUGCCACAGACCCGCCAGUUUCCAUCGGAGCCAUAGAUAUGUCUAUGGAGUUUAUGUAACCGUCCUCCAUGUUGGCUCUAAAUGUUCCAUGAUCAAAUCGAAUGAAAUUGUAUUUGUCACAACGCACGCUGAAUACAACCUUUCAGUGAAAUGCUUACUUACAAGCCCC